GUUUGAUCAUGGCUCAGGAUGAACGCUGGCGGCGUGCCUAACACAUGCAAGUCGAGCGGAGUUUUUUAAGAAGCUUGCUUUUUUAAAAACUUAGCGGCGGACGGGUGAGUAACGCGUGGGUAACCUGCCCUAUACACAGGGAUAACAUUGAGAAAUUGAUGCUAAUACCUGAUAAGCUAACGCCUAGGCAUCUAGGAGUUAGAAAAACUGAGGUGGUAUAGGAGGGGCCCGCGUCUGAUUAGCUAGUUGGUGGGGUAAAGGCCUACCAAGGCGACGAUCAGUAGCCGACCUGAGAGGGUGAUCGGCCACAUUGGAACUGAGACACGGUCCAAACUCCUACGGGAGGCAGCAGUGGGGAAUAUUGCACAAUGGGGGGAACCCUGAUGCAGCAACGCCGCGUGAAGGAAGAAGUAUUUCGGUAUGUAAACUUCUAUCGACAGGG
rnacentral:rRNA from 1 species